AGAGUUUGAUCCUGGCUCAGAUUGAACGCUGGCGGCAUGCUUUACACAUGCAAGUCGAACGGCAGCACGGGUGCUUGCAUCCGGUGGCGAGUGGCGGACGGGUGAGUAAUACAUCGGAACGUGUCCUUAAGUGGGGGAUAACGCAUCGAAAGAUGUGCUAAUACCGCAUAAUAUCUAAGGAAGAAAGUGGGGGAUCGAAAGACCUCAUGCUUUUGGAGCGGCCGAUGUCUGAUUAGCUAGUUGGUGAGGUAAUAGCUCACCAAGGCAACGAUCAGUAGUUGGUCUGAGAGGACGACCAGCCACACUGGGACUGAGACACGGCCCAGACUCCUACGGGAGGCAGCAGUGGGGAAUUUUGGACAAUGGGCGCAAGCCUGAUCCAGCAAUGCCGCGUGAGUGAAGAAGGCCUUCGGGUUGUAAAGCUCUUUCAGUUGAGAAGAAAAAAUUCUGGCUAAUAUCUGGAAUUCAUGACGGUAUCAACAGAAGAAGCACCGGCUAACUACGUGCCAGCAGCCGCGGUAAUACGUAGGGUGCGAGCGUUAAUCGGAAUUACUGGGCGUAAAGGGUGCGCAGGUGGUUUUGUAAGUCAGAUGUGAAAUCCCCGGGC
rnacentral:rRNA from 1 species